CGGUGAAAGUUUAUGCAUUUACAUCGGUUGAUGUAUUGCACGUUCUUUCGCCAUC
rnacentral:pre_miRNA from 1 species